rnacentral:rRNA from 1 species
ACGGUACCGGAAGAAUAAGCACCGGCUAACUACGUGCCAGCAGCCGCGGUAAUACGUAGGGUGCGAGCGUUAAUCGGAAUUACUGGGCGUAAAGCGUGCGCAGGCGGUUUGCUAAGACCGAUGUGAAAUCCCCGGGCUCAACCUGGGAACUGCAUUGGUGACUGGCAGGCUAGAGUAUGGCAGAGGGGGGUAGAAUUCCACGUGUAGCAGUGAAAUGCGUAGAGAUGUGGAGGAAUACCGAUGGCGAAGGCAGCCCCCUGGGCCAAUACUGACGCUCAUGCACGAAAGCGUGGGGAGCAAACAGGAUUAGAUACCCUGGUAGUCCACGCCCUAAACGAUGUCAACUAGUUGUUGGGGAUUCAUUUCCUUAGUAACGUAGCUAACGCGUGAAGUUGACCGCCUGGGGAGUACGGUCGCAAGAUUAAAACUCAAAGGAAUUGACGGGGACCCGCACAAGCGGUGGAUGAUGUGGAUUAAUUCGAUGCAACGCGAAAAACCUUACCUACCCUUGACAU